AAUAACAUUUAGAUAUUUAACACAGGGCAUAGAAUUAAAUGACAACAAUAGCAACACGAGUACAAGUCUAUUUACAGAUCCUGAACCGCUACUCUCCUUAAUUCGACUUUAAACUAAGACACGUCAAAACUGAUUGACUUUGUUUAAUAAAAUUGAUAGUCUCAUUUAAAUAUUUAUAUAUGAACAAUUAAUAAUGCAACACGCAGUCAUUGUUUACGUAUCACAUACCACGACCGUAGUUGGUAUGCAGAUUUGUUUUCAUUAUUCGAUAGAUACAUCAUGAAGGUGCUAGGUGUAUUAAGUGUCUAUGUGGUUUUUGUACAACUAAGCAUAUGGGAGACGGCGGAUACCAUUUUGCCACCCCAUCAGUUCAAUUUGUUGUUUCCCCCAACGCGUCGACCACCUAAAAACCCUUAUGCAGCAAUUUUAAUCCAGAAGAUGGCAUGUGAAGCAUGUAGAAAUAUGACUACCAAAAAUUGUAAUUACUUUUGCUUCUCUACUGUUCCAGGAAAGUAUCGCCCACUUACUUCUUUGCAAAAGUUAUCUCCAUUCACAACGUCAGACAACGAUCAACAAGUAUUUGGAAUUCCAAAAGUAAUAAAUGAAAGUCAAACCUUCCCCUCUGUCAUUCCUGUAAAUGGCUUUAAAAACCAACUUGAGUCUUACAUAAACAACGUUGAUGUGCAAAACUUUAUUGAUGUUUCAACUGUAGCAAGUAGAAAACGGUAAAAAUACUUAAGUGGCACACUACUUGUAUCUAAAAGAAUUCAUUUUUGUAAAUUUUUUUGAUUUGUGCUUUAUUUUAUUCAUGGGACAGUAUUUUGAUUUUUAUUUCUUUGUAUCUGAUGUACAUUUUUAUGACAUCAUAUCUUCUUUGUAUAUUUGUUACCACUGCAUGUAGAAGGAUGUUUCUGUUCAACCAUCCGUAAUUAUCAGGCUGACAUAUUACCUUGCUUUGGAAGAGUAUCAAUAAAUGAGUUAACGCACAAAUAA